rnacentral:sRNA from 1 species
AUUCCCUUCUGCCUUUCUCGGCGAUGAUAAAAGGCUUUGCUCUGGCAAUAGGAAUUUAGAAAAAAAGAAAAAGCUGCGCUAAACUCCACCGUGACCUCAAACUCUUUGGACUGUUUGAAAAAAAAAAAAAAUUGGAAGAAAAUCCAUCCUCCAAGAGAAUCGGCAUAGGAGGAGAUGGAAGUUUUCCCCUUGCUCUUGGUUUUGUCCGUCUGGUGGUCUCGAACCUGGGACUCUGCGAAUGCGGAUUCGAUCAUUCACAUCGGAGCAAUUUUUGAUGAAUCUGCCAAAAAGGAUGAUGAGGUGUUUCGCACAGCAGUUGGUGACCUUAACCAGAAUGAGGAGAUCUUACAGACUGAGAAAAUCACAUUUUCAGUGACGUUUGUUGAUGGCAACAACCCUUUCCAAGCAGUUCAAGAAGCCUGUGAACUUAUGAAUCAAGGCAUCUUGGCCCUGGUCAGCUCCAUUGGCUGCACGUCAGCAGGCUCCCUCCAGUCUUUGGCAGACGCCAUGCAUAUCCCACACCUCUUCAUUCAGCGCUCAACAGCUGGGACCCCAAGGAGUGGCUGUGGACUCACCCGGAGCAACAGGAAUGAUGACUACACUCUCUCAGUUCGCCCACCUGUCUACUUGCAUGACGUUAUCCUAAGAGUGGUCACAGAGUAUGCCUGGCAGAAAUUCAUUAUAUUCUAUGAUAGUGAAUAUGAUAUCCGUGGAAUACAGGAGUUCUUGGACAAAGUGUCUCAGCAGGGAAUGGAUGUUGCACUUCAGAAGGUAGAAAACAACAUCAAUAAAAUGAUCACCACUCUCUUUGACACCAUGAGAAUAGAAGAACUGAAUCGCUAUCGAGACACUCUUAGGCGAGCGAUCCUUGUUAUGAAUCCUGCUACAGCCAAAUCCUUCAUUACUGAGGUUGUGGAGACGAAUUUGGUUGCUUUUGACUGUCACUGGAUCAUUAUAAAUGAGGAAAUAAACGAUGUGGACGUACAGGAACUUGUAAGAAGGUCAAUUGGAAGGUUAACGAUUAUUCGGCAGACAUUUCCAGUUCCCCAGAAUAUAAGUCAGCGGUGUUUCCGUGGCAACCAUCGAAUAUCUUCAACAUUGUGUGAUCCAAAGGAUCCAUUUGCUCAGAAUAUGGAGGUAUAUUAUAAAUGACAGGAUAUUUCUUCCAGGGUGCUUUGUUGGGCAAUUGCAAGGAGAGCUUUAUGAGUUGCAUUGGAUUCAGAAUUAUACGUGUUAUUUCUGAACAAUUCUCCUCCAGCAAUUUCAUAAGUCUAUUGGGGAGAAAGUGCUAAGAAUUUGCAUCUUCGUUCUUUUUGAUCUCAUUAUAGAAAAAUUUCUACUUGUUUAAUAAAAAAAUAUAAUAAGUAAAGGUUAUUUUCUUCUAAACAAGUAGGUCCAUAACAUUUCCCAUAGGAGAAUUUGUAAUUGGUACUCCUUUUUCCAAACUCUAAAUUAUUAAACUAAUAAAUAUGCUUGACUUUUCUGGCAUAAGA